rnacentral:lncRNA from 1 species
AGGAGCAACAAGGUGGAGUUUUUCUUUUCUGAUGGAAACAAGGUAGAGUUUGGAUAGUACAGAUCGUCUAAUAGCCUUCUUCUCAAUGCAUCAUGGUAAUAGAGAUCCAAAGCUUUGAGUUUGAAUGUGGAAGGGCAUUUUUUCCAGCAUUUGAUGGGACUGCACAAGACAAGGAUUUCUAAGACACAUAAAAGAAUUUGAAGCACUCUGCACCAGUCAAAUUGCAUG